rnacentral:rRNA from 1 species
GCAGCAGCCACGGGAAUACGUAGGUCCCGAGCGUUGUCCGGAUUUAUUGGGCGUAAAGGGCUCGCAGGCGGUUUCUUAAGUCUGAUGUGAAAGCCCCCGGCUCAACCGGGGAGGGUCAUUGGAAACUGGGAAACUUGAGUGCAGAAGAGGAGAGUGGAAUUCCACGUGUAGCGGUGAAAUGCGUAGAGAUGUGGAGGAACACCAGUGGCGAAGGCGACUCUCUGGUCUGUAACUGACGCUGAGGAGCGAAAGCGUGGGGAGCGAACAGGAUUAGAUACCCCCGUAGUCCCUGUCUCUUAUAC